GAGGAUAAUAUUUAGGGAUGUACGUGAGAGACCCCUCCGGAGAAGAAGACGAUCAUUUUCCUUUUAUUUUUUCUUUUUCGUUUUCCAGAGAGAGAGAGAGUCAAGAAGAACGUCCUUUUUUUUAGAAUCGGACAUGUGGCCAUCUGGUAUUGGACACGAGAAGAUAUUAUUUCCUCUCCUUAUCCCUCCAUUCCUCGCCAGCUAAUGAGAGAGAGACUAUUCUUUUUUUGUUCGUUGGGAGUGUUCCUCAUUGAUGGAACGUGGCACAUGUAGAUUGAUAAAAACAAUGUUUUUUUAACUUUUC
rnacentral:lncRNA from 1 species